UACAGAGGUCUCAAGCGUUGUUCGGAUUCAUUGGGCGUAAAGGGUGCGUAGGUGGCGCCGUAAGUCGGGUGUGAAAUUUCGGAGCUUAACUCCGAAACUGCAUUCGAUACUGCGGUGCUUGAGGACUGGAGAGGAGACUGGAAUUUACGGUGUAGCAGUGAAAUGCGUAGAUAUCGUAAGGAAGACCAGUGGCGAAGGCGGGUCUCUGGACAGUUCCUGGCGCUGAGGCACGAAGGCCAGGGGAGCAAACGGG
rnacentral:rRNA from 1 species